AACGGCGAGUGAAGCGGUAACAGCUCAAAUUUGAAAGCUAGCUCUUUUAGGGUUCGCAUUGUAAUUUGUAGAAGAUGCUUCGGGUGUGGCCCCGGUCUAAGUUCCUUGGAACAGGACGUCAUAGAGGGUGAGAAUCCCGUAUGUGACUGGGUGCUUUCGCUCAUGUGAAGCUCUUUCGACGAGUCGAGUUGUUUGGGAAUGCAGCUCAAAAUGGGUGGUAAAUUUCAUCUAAAGCUAAAUAUUGGCCAGAGACCGAUAGCGCACAAGUAGAGUGAUCGAAAGAUGAAAAGCACUUUGGAAAGAGAGUUAAACAGUACGUGAAAUUGUUGAAAGGGAAGCGCUUGCAACCAGACUUGCGCGCUGAUGAUCAUCCGGGCUUCUGCCCGGUGCACUCGUCUGCGCUCAGGCCAGCAUCGGUUUCGGUGGUGGGAUAAAGGCCUUGGGAAUGUAGCUUCUUUCGGGGAGUGUUAUAGCCCUCGGUGCAAUGCCGCCUACCGGGACCGAGGACCGCGCUUCGGCUAGGAUGCUGGCGUAAUGGUUGUAAGCGACCCGUCUUGAAACACGGACCAAGGAGUCUAACAUCUAUGCGAGUGUUUGGGUGUCAAACCCAUACGCGUAAUGAAAGUGAACGGAGGUGAGAACCCUUAAGGGUGCAUCAUCGACCGAUCCUGAUGUCUUCGGAUGGAUUUGAGUAAGAGCAUAGCUGUUGGGACCCGAAAGAUGGUGAACUAUGCGUGAAUAGGGUGAAGCCAGAGGAAACUCUGGUGGAGGCUCGCAGCGGUUCUGACGUGCAAAUCGAUCGUCAAAUUUGCGUAUAGGG
rnacentral:rRNA from 1 species